rnacentral:rRNA from 1 species
GUGAGGAAUAUUGGUCAAUGGGCGGAAGCCUGAACCAGCCAUCCCGCGUGAAGGAAGGCGGCCCUAUGGGUUGUAAACUUCUUUAGUACAUGAAGAACAGGAUCUACGCGUAGGUUUAUGACGGUAAUGUACAAAAAAGCAUCGGCUAACUCCGUGCCAGCAGCCGCGGUAAUACGGAGGAUGCGAGCGUUAUCCGGAUUCAUUGGGUUUAAAGGGUACGUAGGUGGCCCUGUAAGUCAGUGGUGAAAAUCUGCCGCUUAACGGUAGGGGUGCCAAUGAUACUGCGGGGGUUGAGUACAGUUGAGGUAGGUGGAAUGUGUAGUGUAGCGGUGAAAUGCAUAGAUAUUACACAGAACUCCGAUUGCGAAGGCAUCUUACUAAGCUGAAACUGACACUGAUGUACGAAAGCGUGGGGAUCGAACAGGAUUAGAUACCCGGGUAGUCC